AAACAAUGUGAUAAACAAUCUACACUGUAGGAAACAUAAAUGUAUAAAAUUUAACACCAUUGCGGAUUGCCUCUUUUCGUUUCGCUAACAGCAUUUAAGUGGUAAACGAGAGUUUGUAAAUGUUUUAUGAUCUUUAUAACUACUAUAAAUCUUUAAUAACAAAACUUAAAACCUAGAAGGUUAAAGUCUGUAAAUAAAGUAGAUUUAUAAUGUAUGUCAUUAACAUUAAGUAAAAGCUAACUGUUAUAGUCAGUACCGAUUUCACCAAGGCCUGUUAAAGUAAAUGAAAGAAAAGGCGUGAUAUUUUAACAAACAACACUAACAGACGUUGGUCAAAUUGGAUCUUAAUCUGUUAUACUGAAAUACACAAUAAAAACAUUGUAUAGUUAUGGUUAAGUACUUCCUUCCGACAUUAAUAAGCUUAUAAAAUAAUUAUUGUUGCUUUAUCUACUCCAUAAGUAAGAUUAAGAUUUUCAUUUAAAUAUUUAAUUUCUUAAUACUUACAAUUGUCCAUAAAAACCUUAAAAAUGAGUUAUUGUCAAUUUCGUAUUUCAGUAUUAUGGAAUAUGUAGGAUUACACUUACCAAAGACCUCCAAACAAUAAUUGUCCAGUCAAAGACAGAUCCGGUGCCCAAUUCUCAAACUACGAAAUUUGCUUCAAUAUCAGGCUAUCAAAUCAAUUAUUCACAGCAUAAUGUCAGAGCAAAAUCUUUGAUUAGUGUAAUACUACCAUUAGGGCCUUACACACAAGCGGUUUGCGGGUGUUCAUACACUAGUGUGAGCGCCGCGCAACCGCUCAUAACGCAAACCGUGUUAUAAGGCCCUUAAGCUGUUUACACAAAUGCCGCGGCGGCGGCGGCUCCAUUACUCAUCCUUGUGUUUCUAUUGUUUCUAUUUGCCCUUACACACGGCGGAGGCGAUUCUUUACCACGGCGGCAAUAAAGCUGCCGCUACGGCGCCGUGUGUAAACACGCUUAGGGCUAAGGCCCAUUGUAGCCAAUCUAGAUUACAUAAUUAUUAUGUUAUCUCUUUCAUAAAUAUUAAGAACAAAGAGACGACAUGAUAUUUAACCCAGAACUGCACUAGUGAAUUCAGGCUAACUAGUGCAGUUCUUGGUGGUUCUGUAAGCAUUUUUAUGUAGGUACGUAUAUAAGAUUUAAUUGGAAUUUAUUUAUGAUGACAUAGUUGUAGAUUUCGUUUUUCAUUAAUAAGAUUGUAAUUUUGCUUUAGAGGUUCUCGUGAGUCAUGACAAAAAUAAAUACAUACAUACAAUAGUGUUCAGGAAAUUUCGAAUUCAGAAAAUCUGAGGAAAAUAACUUGAAGGCCAAUCGAAGUAAGAGUUUAUCAUCAAGCAUAAAUACAAAGAUCAAGAGAACCUGACUAAAAUAUCUGACACCGACUAGAGCACUGAACCUAAAUGCAUUGUAUGUAUUUUCUACGAUAUUUGGUCUGUGGUAAAGAGAAUAAAUUUUUUAAAA